CCCCUAGUAACGGCGAGUGAAGAGGGAAGAGCCCAGCGUCGAACCUCGGCUCUUUGGGCCGCGGAAUGUGACGUGUGGGAUGGUUCUCUGUUGUGUGCGGCUUGAACCCAAGUUCUCCUGAUUGGGACUCCAUCGAGGGUGUCAGACCCGUACGGAUUCGAGCUCGUACGCCGCUCCGGACCAUCUUUAGAGUCGGGUUGUUUGGGAAUGCAGCCCAAAUUGGGAGGUAAACUCCUUCUAAGGCUAAAUAUUCGAAGGAAACCGAUAGCGAACAAGUACCGUGAGGGAAAGUUGAAAAGCACUUUGAAGAGAGAGUUCAAUAGUACGUGAAACCGUUAAGAGGUAAACGGUGAAGCUAUCAGAGUGCCUUGGGCGAUUCAGCCGUGGCUUGUUUUCGUCCCUCAGGAUCUUUAAAGGCCUUUCGGGGUACAAAGUAGUUCUGGGGGUUCGGGGAUCGGCGGCGGCGCACUUCGCUCAGGGUUCAGCCACGACCGGUUUCUUGGGAGUGUUACAGCCUUUUGUCACGUGUCGAUUUCCUCUUCGGAAGAGAUCGCAUAAGGACUGGAGGCCGGCGGCCUUUUGGGAGACCGUGGUAGUGAAAUGUCGACCUCCGGGUGGGAUCGUUUCGGAGUUUUGYUGCGUUCCUUUCKGUGCAAACAUCUUCGGAUGUGGGUCUGGGAGUGCGCGUACGGYUUCKGAGCGACCGCGAUGUUUCCCGUCUGUGGCAAUCAAUGAUACUCUUUACCGACCCGUCUUGAAACACGGACCAAGGAGUCUAACAUGUGUGCGAGUCUCAAGGGAGUGAAAACCCGCGGGCGUAAUGAAAGUAAACAGGUGGGAAUCGGUCAGUUCGCUGAUCGACGCACCGCCGUCCCGCCUUUGUUGCAUGACAUAAGAGUGCGGAGAAUGAGCAUAAAUGUUAGGACCCGAAAGAUGGUGAACUAUGCCUGAGCAGGAUGAAGCCAGGGGAAACCCUGGUGGAGGUCCGUAGCGAUUCUGACGUGCAAAUCGAUCGUCUGAUUUGGGUAUAGGGGCGA
rnacentral:rRNA from 1 species